GGCAUGUGUCCACGUAAUUGGACCCAACUCCUCUUCACUGGUUCUCAUCUUUAUCCCCUUCCUUAUCUCUUUACAAGCUUAGGGGAAUUGGUGGAGAGGGUGACAGCUUGGGUGUUUGAGGUUGUGACGAGUAGGGAAACCAGCAGAGGAGAAGUUAUAAUCAGAGAUUAAUUGGAAGCUAUACAAGAGAAGGAAGUUGUUAAAGUGCUACCUUGGUAGAAAGGCUGCCAAGGAAGCUAAUGAAGCAGAAUUUAAGAUGUUGGAGCUGCCGAAUUGGAGCUGCCGCUGAGGAAGCUUUAGAACAAAAUUUUAAGUUGUUGGAAUUGAAAGUAACCAGAGGGAUUAUCAAAUUAAGAUUUAGUGUGUAGGGCUUGUUGAAGCUGCCGAAGUGAGAAAUUCAACCUGGGAAGCUUUGAACCUGAGGAAAUUUUCGAAUUGAGGGAAGCAAUGGUGCAGAAUUCCAGCAUGGUGCAGAUUUUGAGGUUGAGCUGAAAUUGUUGCCUUAUUAGAGCUUCUUUGGUGUCCAAACUAAAAGAGGACCAAGUGGAACUUCAAGCUCAGGUGAGAUUAAUGAUGCUGGGAGCAACUUAGAAAGCUUCUAAUUCAGGUAAGAAUAGAAAUUAUCCCUGAUUUGAGUAGUGGAAUGUUAUAAAGAUAAUUUCUAAGUGAGUUGUGAAGCACAAUUUUUGAAAUUCAGCCUGAACUGAAUUUCAGCAUGAGAGGUAUUUGUUAUUGAGCUGAGAACUAUGUAAUUGGACAGCAAAUUAAGUCACUUAUAAUUAUGUUAUGAUUAGGAGUUAGAUUAGUUACUCUAGAAGAGUUCUAAGCAUAAGAACUAAUUGUUCUAUGCUUAUAAUAAAUGCUCGAAGAGGAGGUGAAAUGCUGAAAAUUCAGCAUGAAGCAAGAUUUCAGCAUAAUGCUGAAAAUUAACAUUGAGCUGAAACUUUAAGUAUUAUGGCUUCUAUGAGAUUUGCUUUAGUAAAUACUUAUGAGUAGUUGUUAAAAGGUGAAAUUGAACUAAGACCAUGAUAACUUUAUCUUAAAGUUGAUAAGAAGUUUGAGAGUGAGAUUAUACUGAUGUACAUGUGGAAAGUAUAUCUAUAUGUAUAUAAGUGCUUAGAAGUUGAAAUGCAAGUUUUGUUGAAAAUGAAUAUGACGUCGGUUUAAUCUCUCCUAUACUUAUUUGAAUGAAAGUUAAACUUGCUCGAAAGUCAAAAUUGAUAUUCCGACAGGUCGGCGACGCAUUAAUUACGGUAGAAGCCAAUUCGUCUCUAAUUGCAUCGAGUCGCGUGAUAUUGUUCUUGAUACACUUCAAGACGUGAGCUCUUAGUUGUUGACACCACUACAGGUUCCAGCGCGACGUUGUGGCUGAGGAUCGCGACAAGAGCCCAGCAGCCUAGCUAGUGGGCACCCGAGUUCUAGUGGUAUACCAUUUUGGUUUCAUAUUGUACAUAAUGAUGAACAAAGAGAUGUGUAAAUGAAAAUUUAAGUGAUGUAAAUAACUAAAUGUUCAGUUAUUUAGUUAUAUAUAGUUUAGUGUUAAAAGUUUUAAAUUA